rnacentral:tRNA from 1 species
GGCAGUGUAACACAGUGGUAAGAAGUAGGGCUCGUAACUGAAAGGUUGCUGGUUCAAUUCCCCGCUGCUG